GGCAAGAGGCAGCUACCAUGCAGUCGAGCGGCAGCACGGGGAGCUUGCUCCCUGGUGGCGAGCGGCGGACGGGUGAGUAAUGCAUAGGAAUCUGCCCGGUAGUGGGGGAUAACGUGGGGAAACCCACGCUAAUACCGCAUACGUCCUACGGGAGAAAGCGGAGGAUCUUCGGACUUCGCGCUAUCGGAUGAGCCUAUGUCGGAUUAGCUAGUUGGUAAGGUAACGGCUUACCAAGGCGACGAUCCGUAGCUGGUCUGAGAGGAUGAUCAGCCACACUGGGACUGAGACACGGCCCAGACUCCUACGGGAGGCAGCAGUGGGGAAUAUUGGACAAUGGGCGAAAGCCUGAUCCAGCCAUGCCGCGUGUGUGAAGAAGGCUUUCGGGUUGUAAAGCACUUUCAGCGAGGAAGAAAGCCUCUGGGUUAAUACCCCAGAGGAAGGACAUCACUCGCAGAAGAAGCACCGGCUAACUCCGUGCCAGCAGCCGCGGUAAUACGGAGGGUGCGAGCGUUAAUCGGAAUUACUGGGCGUAAAGCGCGCGUAGGUGGCUUGGCACGCCGGUUGUGAAAGCCCCGGGCUCAACCUGGGAACGGCAUCCGGAACGGCCAGGCUAGAGUGCAGGAGAGGAAGGUAGAAUUCCCGGUGUAGCGGUGAAAUGCGUAGAGAUCGGGAGGAAUACCAGUGGCGAAGGCGGCCUUCUGGCCUGACACUGACACUGAGGUGCGAAAGCGUGGGUAGCAAACAGGAUUAGAUACCCUGGUAGUCCACGCCGUAAACGAUGUCGACUAGCCGUUGGGACCUUUAAGGACUUAGUGGCGCAGUUAACGCGAUAAGUCGACCGCCUGGGGAGUACGGCCGCAAGGUUAAAACUCAAAUGAAUUGACGGGGGCCCGCACAAGCGGUGGAGCAUGUGGUUUAAUUCGAUGCAACGCGAAGAACCUUACCUACCCUUGACAUCCAGAGAAGUUGGCAGAGAUGCCUUCGUGCCUUCGGGAACUCUGAGACAGGUGCUGCAUGGCUGUCGUCAGCUCGUGUUGUGAAAUGUUGGGUUAAGUCCCGUAACGAGCGCAACCCUUGUCCUUAUUUGCCAGCGAGUAAUGUCGGGAACUCUAAGGAGACUGCCGGUGACAAACCGGAGGAAGGUGGGGAACGACGUCAAGUCAUCAUGGCCCUUUACCG
rnacentral:rRNA from 1 species